rnacentral:rRNA from 1 species
UACGUAUGGUGCAAGCGUUAUCCGGAUUUACUGGGUGUAGAGGGAGCGCAGGCGGCACGGCAAGCCUGAUGUGAAAGCCCGCGGCCCAACCGCGGGACUGCAUUGGGAACUACCGGGCUGGAGUGCCGGAGAGGUAGGCGGAAUUCCUAGUGUAGCGGUGAAAUGCGUAGAUAUUAGGAGGAACACCAGUGGCGAAGGCGGCCUACUGGACGGUGACUGACGCUGAGGCUCGAAAGCGUGGGGAGCAAACAGG